rnacentral:ncRNA from 2 species
UAACGACUGCAUGACUGGCGGAAAACAGGAAUUACCUGUGGGGAGUGCAGUAAGUGAUAAGCCGACCGCCUGGGCAGCCUGA